AGUGAACGCUGGCGGUAGGCCUAACACAUGCCAGUCGAACGGCAGCACAGUAAGAGCUUGCUCUUACGGGUGGCGAGUGGCGGACGGGUGAGGAAUACAUCGGAAUCUACUUUUUCGUGGGGGAUGACGUAGGGAAACUUACGCUAAUACCGCAUACGACCUACGGGUGAAAGCAGGGGAUCUUCGGACCUUGCGCGAUUGAAUGAGCCGAUGUCGGAUUAGCUAGUUGGCGGGGUAAAGGCCCACCAAGGCGACGAUCCGUAGCUGGUCUGAGAGGAUGAUCAGCCACACUGGAACUGAGACACGGUCCAGACUCCUACGGGAGGCAGCAGUGGGGAAUAUUGGACAAUGGGCGCAAGCCUGAUUCAGCCAUACCGCGUGGGUGAAGAAGGCCUUCGGGUUGUAAAGCCCUUUUGUUGGGAAAGAAAAGCAGCAGGUUAAUACCCCGCUGUUCUGACGGUACCCAAAGAAUAAGCACCGGCUAACUUCGUG
rnacentral:rRNA from 1 species